GCUCAGUAACACGUGGCCAAGCUACCCUGUGGACGGGAAUACUCUCGGGAAACUGAGACUAAUCCCCGAUAACGCUUUGCUCCUGGAAGGGGCAAAGCCGGAAACGCUCCGGCGCCACAGGAUGCGGCUGCGGUCGAUUAGGUAGACGGUGGGGUAACGGCCCACCGUGCCCAUAAUCGGUACGGGUUGUGAGAGCAAGAGCCCGGAGACGGAAUCUGAGACAAGAUUCCGGGCCCUACGGGGCGCAGCAGGCGCGAAACCUUUACACUGUACGAAAGUGCGAUAAGGGGACUCCGAGUGUGAAGGCAUAGAGCCUUCACUUUUGUACACCGUAAGGCGGUGCACGAAUAAGGACUGGGCAAGACCGGUGCCAGCCGCCGCGGUAAUACCGGCAGUCCGAGUGAUGGCCGAUCUUAUUGGGCCUAAAGCGUCCGUAGCUGGCUGAACAAGUCCGUUGGGAAAUCUGUCCGCUUAACGGGCAGGCGUCCAGCGGAAACUGUUCAGCUUGGGACCGGAAGACCUGAGGGGUACGUCUGGGGUAGGAGUGAAAUCCUGUAAUCCUGGACGGACCGCCGGGUGCAAAAG
rnacentral:rRNA from 1 species